rnacentral:rRNA from 1 species
GACGAACGCUGGCGGCGUGCUUAACACAUGCAAGUCGAACGGAAAGGCCCUGCUUUUGUGGGGUUCUCGAGUGGCGAACGGGUGAGUAACACGUGAGUAACCUGCCCUUGACUUUGGGAUAACUUCAGGAAACUGGGGCUAAUACCGUAUAGGAUCUCCUGCUGCAUGGUGGGGGUUGGAAAGUUUCGGCGGUUGGGGAUGGACUCGCGGCUUAUCAGCUUGUUGGUGGGGUAGUGGCUUACCAAGGCUUUGACGGGUAGCCGGCCUGAGAGGGUGACCGGCCACAUUGGGACUGAGAUACGGACCAGACUCCUACGGGAGGCAGCAGUGGGGAAUAUUGCACAAUGGGCGGAAGCGUGAUGCAGCAACGCCGCGUGCGGGAUGACGGCCUUCGGGUUGUAAAACGCUUUCGCCUGUGACGAAGCGUGAGUGACGGUAAUGGGUAAAGAAGCACCGGCUAACUACGUG